AUUGAACGCUGGCGGCAGGCUUAACACAUGCAAGUCGAGCGGGGUGAUGGUGCUUGCACUAUCACUUAGCGGCGGACGGGUGAGUAAUGCUUAGGAAUCUGCCUAUUAGUGGGGGACAACAUCUCGAAAGGGAUGCUAAUACCGCAUACGUCCUACGGGAGAAAGCAGGGGAUCACUUGUGACCUUGCGCUAAUAGAUGAGUCUAAGUCGGUUUAGCUAGCUGGUGGGGUAAAGGCCUACCAAGGCGACGAUCUGUAGUGGGUCUGAGAGGAUGAUCAGCCAGACUGGGGCUGGGACACGGCCCAGACUUCUACGGGAGGCAGCAGUGGGGAAUAUUGGACAAUGGGGGAAACCCUGGUCCAGCCAUGCCGCGUGUGUGAAGAAGGCCUUAUGGUUGUAAAGCACUUUAAGCGAGGAUGAGGCUCUUUUGGUUAAUACCCAAGAUGAGUGGACGUUACUCGCAGAAUAAGCACCGGCUAACUCUGUGCCAGCAGCCGCAGUAA
rnacentral:rRNA from 1 species